AUUGAACGCUGGCGGCAGGCCUAACACAUGCAAGUCGAGCGGAUGACGGGAGCUUGCUCCUUGAUUCAGCGGCGGACGGGUGAGUAAUGCCUAGGAAUCUGCCUGGUAGUGGGGGACAACGUUCCGAAAGGGGCGCUAAUACCGCAUACGUCCUACGGGAGAAAGUGGGGGAGCUUCGGACCUCACGCUAUCAGAUGAGCCUAGGUCGGAUUAGCUAGUUGGUGAGGUAAAGGCUCACCAAGGCGACGAUCCGUAACUGGUCUGAGAGGAUGAUCAGUCACACUGGAACUGAGACACGGUCCAGACUCCUACGGGAGGCAGCAGUGGGGAAUAUUGGACAAUGGGCGAAAGCCUGAUCCAGCCAUGCCGCGUGUGUGAAGAAGGUCUUCGGAUUGUAAAGCACUUUAAGUUGGGAGGAAGGGCAGUAAGUUAAUACCUUGCUGUUUUGACGUUACCGACAGAAUAAGCACCGGCUAACUCUGUG
rnacentral:rRNA from 1 species